rnacentral:rRNA from 1 species
AUUGAACGCUGGCGGCAUGCCUUACACAUGCAAGUCGAACGGUCAGCGCGGGAGCAAAUCCUGGCGGCGAGUGGCGAACGGGUGAGUAAUAUAUCGGAACGUGCCCAGUAGUGGGGGAUAGCCCGGCGAAAGCCGGAUUAAUACCGCAUGAGACCUGAGGGUGAAAGACGGGGGAUCGCAAGACCUCGCGCUAUUGGAGCGGCCGAUAUCAGAUUAGCUAGUUGGUGGGGUAAAGGCCUACCAAGGCAACGAUCUGUAGUUGGUCUGAGAGGACGACCAGCCACACUGGGACUGAGACACGGCCCAGACUCCUACGGGAGGCAGCAGUGGGGAAUUUUGGACAAUGGGCGCAAGCCUGAUCCAGCCAUGCCGCGUGAGUGAUGAAGGCC